GCCAGUGUGGUAUAGUGGUUUGAGUGUUGGACUGUGACUCUGGAGAUCAAGGUUCAAUUCCCUGCUCAGCCA